rnacentral:rRNA from 1 species
GCUGAUCGGAUAGAGUCGGCGUAUCUUUCAAGUAUUCAUCUACAUUAUUUUUAUGUUGUGAUCUAUGAGCUCCAGAUUGGGACAGAAAGAAGCAUCAUAAUUUUCUGUGAUGCAUUUGUUUGUUUGGUGCUUGGGGAUGUUUGAGGCAGAUUUGUAACCGCCGUUUUGAGGCCAGCUUGAUGGUACCCAAACAGCGUUAGCAUACUUUGUCUCGGACAUUUGAGUAUGGUUUACGGGCAUUUAUUGGUUCGAUUUGAUUGUAAGUUACGGUCGCAUGCGACACGUGCUUUUCAUUUAGAUCGGUCCAUCAAGACGGGUCGGAUAGAUUCCCCAUUUAAACAUGGGUAAUGAGUACGAGAGCUUUAGAAGCACGGAUCAAAGAGAAAAUCGUGUGUGCAAGUUGACGGGAAUUAACAACCUAAAAGAGAAAAUAAAGUAAAUUAUCCAAGAGUAAAUGUCCAAGACAAAAAAAAAAGGGCAGCAUGGCCCCCAGCAACUGUUUACAGUAGGGUGGAGGAAGAGUGUACGCGGAGAGUCCCCAAAGAUGGUGCAAGCUAAUGAGCAGGAGAAAGCCAGAGGAAACUUUGGUGGAACAAUGAAGACGUUAUGAUCACAGGACAUCCCCCCCCCCGUGG